CUGGUUGUCUUGUUGCCUGCCCUGUGCUGUAAAAUGAGGGUCCCUUACUGCAUUAUCAAGGGGAAGGCAAGACUGGGACAUCUAGUCCACCGGAAGACCUGCACCACUGUCGCCUUCACACAGGUGAACUCAGAAGACAAAGGCACUUUGGCUAAGCUGGCGGCAGCUAUCAGGACCAAUUACAAUGACAGACAUGAUGAGAUCCGCUAUCACUGGGGCUGCAAUGUCCUG
rnacentral:lncRNA from 1 species